UCCUCCAGUCUGGGUUCAGGGUGGUGAACUGAGACCAAUCAAGUCUCUCUCUGGACUCUGGGAAUGUCCUCUUUCUCCUUUUGUUUAACACUGGGUUCUCCAACUCCUGUCCUAGAGAGAGUCUGGGUGUGCAAGGCUUUCGUUCCAGCCCUGCAGUAAACACAACUGAAUCAGCGAAUCUGAAAUACCUUCAUUUGAUUGAUUUAAAUCCGGUGUCUUAGUGAGAGGCUGGAAUAAAACCCUCCACAACCAGUAGCUCCCCAGAACCAGACUAUACCGCUAGGCCGGAAUAAAACCCUCCACGACCAGUAUCUCCCCAGAACCAGACUAUACCGCUAGGCUGGAAUAAAACCCUCUACGACCAGUAUCUCCCCAGAACCAGACAAUACCGCUAGUCUAGAAUAAAACCCUCCACGACCAGUAGCUCCCCAGAACCAGACUAUACCGCUAGGCCGGAAUAAAACCCUCCACGACCAGUAUCUCCCCAGAACCAGACUAUACCGCUAGGCUAGAAUAAAACCCUCCACGACCAGUAUCUCCCCAGAACCAGACUAUACCGCUAGUCUAGAAUAAAACCCUCCACGACCAGUAUCUCCCCAGAACCAGACUAUACCGCUAGUCUAGAAUAAAACCCUCCACGACCAGUACCUCCCCAGAACCAGACUAUACCGCUAGUCUAGAAUAAAAGCCUCCACGACCAGUACCUCCCCAGAACCAGACUAUACCGCUAGUCUAGAAUAAAACCCUCCACGACCAGUACCUCCCCAGAACCAGACUAUACCGCUAGUCGUUUCAGCUUGAUGAUUUAACACUGGUAGUGUAGUAUUAGAAUGGUUUGUAUUGUGGGUUUUAUUCUGGAAUCUUCUGAGCUUCUCCAGACUUUUAGUUUUUUGGGGGGGACCUGUUUUCGAUGGCAAGGUUUUGUCCUGAGAACACAUGAAUAGCUGAGUCAGAUACUGACACAAUGACAGUUAUACGGUACCUGUAUAUCCGCUUUAAGUCUUUAUCUGUCCCAGUGUUUUAUACCCUUGGUUGGUUAUGGGGUCUAUACCUCCAUUAAACACCAGCUCCAAUCUACUAACAGGUGUUUUAUAUCCUUGGUUGGUUAUGGGGUCUAUACUUCCAUUAAACACCAGCUCCAAUCUACUAACAGACAGAUAGUGUUUUAUAUCCUUGGUUGGUUAUGGGGUCUAUACUUCCAUUAAACACCAGCUCCAAUCUACUAACAGGUGUUUUAUACCCUUGGUUGGUUAUGGGGUCUAUACUUCCAUUAAACACCAGCUCCAAUCUACUAACAGGUGUUUUAUACCCUUGGUUGGUUAUGGGGUCUAUACUUCCAUUAAACACCAGCUCCAAUCUACUAACAGGUGUUUUAUAUCCUUGGUUGGUUAUGGGGUCUAUACCUCCAUUAAACACCAGCUCCAAUCUACUAACAGGUGUUUUAUAUCCUUGGUUGGUUAUGGGGUCUAUACUUCCAUUAAACACCAGCUCCAAUCUACUAACAGGUGUUUUACAUCCUUGGUUGGUUUUGGGGUCUAUACUUCCAUUAAACACCAGCUCCAAUCUACUAACAGACAGAUAGUGUUUUACAUCCUUGGUUGGUUAUGGGGUCUAUACUUCUGUCUGAAACACAAGUCUUCUUUCUGCAAGUUUACAAAAUGUCUCAUGUUUUUUUUUCCAGUGUGUCUUGUUUUGAGUCAUGAAAAAUAACAAUCCGGACGUUUCCGUUAAUCAAGAAGGUUUUUCAGAUAUCAUUUGUUGAAUGGAAGUUCCAGUGUCAUUUCACAUUCAAUUGUGACAUUUACAUUAGAUUCUUUAAUAAGACAUAAGACGAUGUAUGGCCCAGCCCUUCAUCCUGUACUGUGUGUUUUAGAUUCUUUAAUAAGACGAUGUAUGGCCCAGCCCUUCAUCCUGUACUGUGUGUUUUAGAUUCUUUAAUAAGACAUAAGACGAUGUAUGGCCCAGCCCUUCAUCCUGUACUGUGUGUUUUAGAGUCUUUAAUAAGACGAUGUAUGGCCCAGCCCUUCAUCCUGUACUGUGUGUUUUAGAUUCUUUAAUAAGACAUAAGACGAUGUAUGGCCCAGCCCUUCAACCUGUACUGUGUGUUUUAGAUUCUUUAAUAAGACAUAAGACGAUGUAUGGCCCAGCCCUUCAUCCUGUACUGCGUGUUUUAGAUUCUUUAAUAAGACAUAAGACGAUGUAUGGCCCAGCCCUUCAUCCUGUACUGUGUGUUUUAGAUUCUUUAAUAAGACGAUGUAUGGCCCAGCCCUUCAUCCUGUACUGUGUGUUUUAGAUUCUUUAAUAAGACGAUGUAUGGCCCAGCCCUUCAUCCUGUA